ensembl:lncRNA novel transcript, sense intronic to KAT8
AGAAAAAUCAGGGUGUUGCACUUUAUUAAGUGUAGGUAUUGUUUUGAGAAGCUUUUAUUUCACACCCAAUAAAAGUGUGCAGGAUUCCUCUUGUUCCAGCCUUACCUUCCCGAUGAUCCUAGCACAUACUUGUGUGUAUAUACAGACAUGUUACAGUGCCAAGUGUACUUCCUACUGUGGUGUGAUUUAAAAAAUUGAAAUACCCUAAACUGGAAGAACUCCUCAAGGUCUAAACUGCCGAAUCGAACUUCCUAUUGUAAUGGAAAUGUUCUAUAGCUGUACUAUCUAGUACCGUAGCCACUAGCCACAUGUAGCUGUUGAGCACUUGAAAUGUGUCUAGUGUGACGAAGAAUUAAGAAUUUUAGCGUGAGCCACCACGUUUAGCUGAGUAUAAUUUUAAAUAGCCCUAUGUGACAAGUGGCUACUUUAUUGGACAGUGUAGAUCUAAGAUUAAUUCCUCAACUGUUUUGCACUCAACAAAGACAUACCUCUGAGUUGGCAACCAGCAGGGUGGAUAACGGGCCAGUG